UGCAAGUGUAACACUCUU
rnacentral:snRNA from 1 species